ACAGUGUUGCAAUAGUAAUUCAACCUAGUACGAGAGGAACCGUUGAUUUGCACAAUUGGUUAUCGCGCUUGGUUGAAAAGCCAGUGGCGCGAAGCUACCGUGCGCUGGAUUAUGACUGAACGCCUCUAAGUCAGAAUCCGGGCUAGAAGCAGCGCGUGUGCCCGUCGCCUGUUUGCCUGUGACAACUCGAAUUUCCAAGAUUUUCUAUUUCGAAAUUAUUGCACGUUCAUAUAUUGAUUAGUUGUUUAUUUGCACAAUUGAUUGCUAUGGAACUGUAACGUUUUAAAACAAUGAAGUGUAUUGUGUGAUUAUGCAUGGUUAUGUGUUAAUUGUGAUAGACUUGUCAAAUGCAUAAACUUGGU
rnacentral:rRNA from 11 species